rnacentral:lncRNA from 1 species
CUAAGGCUGGGAAAGGGGGAAUGCAUGAGCAUGUUGGGAACAAGGCAUCAGAGCUGGGAGGACAGUUGUACAUUGUGUGGGAGAUUGGCAAGCCCCUCCAAAUGUCUGUCUUGACUCCUGCUGAAUGGGCUUGCACACAGAAACUGGGUCCUGAGCUCUGCUCUGCCUUGUGAUGUAAGGGACAGGCAUAUGCCAGCCUAGACCUCGGCCCUUGCCGGAUUGGAGUCCAAGGUGUGCAUAUCCAUCCAGAUGUGGUGCGUGACCUCAGGG